UCCGCAGUAGCUCAUCUGGUCCAUUUCUCUGUCCAGACGUGGAUACGAGACGAUCUGGGUUCGAAUCCCAGCUGCGGAA
rnacentral:tRNA from 1 species